AGCUUGUUAGUUUAAUAUAAAAUUUUUGUUUGUGGAACAGAAGAAUUUUAGAGCUA
rnacentral:tRNA from 1 species